UUCGACGCUGCUAUCUUGAAUGGAAAUAUGACGUGUUUAUGAGCUUAGUGGCUGGUAGUUUCCAAACAACCAGCCACUAAGCUCAUAAACACGCCAUAUUUCCAUUCAGGUUGAUCUCAACUGA
rnacentral:pre_miRNA from 1 species